CUGCUGAGUUGGUACUUCCGGUUAAGUGCGUUUUAGUCAGCUGGUUGUUUGUCACGCGAGCCUGAAAACCUCCGAGUGAAGGUAGUUUAAAGGAUCCCUGCUGCAGGUACAGUUUGUGUUGCGAGUAUAAGUCGCGUGACUGAGUCCCUUCACAUCCGCGUGCACCAAACUCCACCAAAGACUUAAAUCUCCGCUCAGUCCAUAACAAACUGACGUCGCUGACCCGUUCUGUUGUUUUGAUAUUACCUCCGAGACUUCCAACAAAUAUCUUCAGUACAAUGUCAUCAGUGAAGGUGGAGUGCGUGGUGAAGGCGGGCGCUCUGAUUGGUGAAGGGCCGCUGUGGGAGGAGUCACAGCAGAUGCUGAUGUUUGUCGACAUUGCUGGGUGGAAAAUCCACCGCUGGAGCCCAACGACCAAUCAGAGCGAGUCUGUGGAUACAGGUGACUCGGUGGGUUUCGUGGUUCCUCGACGUUCAGGUGGUUACGUUGCAGGUGUGGGUCGCAGCCUUGUGGCUGUUGAUUGGUCGACUCAGAUGAUGACAUCACUGGUGGAGGUCGACGAGGACAAACCGAGAAACCGUCUGAACGAUGGGAAGGUGGAUCCGAUCGGACGCCUGCUGGCAGGUACGAUGGGGGAGGAGCAGCGACCUGCAGAGGUUCAGAGACAACAAGGAUCUUUAUUCUCUGUGACCUCUGACCUCUCUGUGACCCAACACCUGUCACAGGUGGAUAUUUCUAACGGGAUGGACUGGUCUUUGGAUCAGAAGACGUUUUUCUACAUCGAUAGUUUGUCUCUGACUGUCGAUGCCUUCGACUACGACUUGAACUCCGGAAACCUCGGUAAUCGGCGCAUUGUGUAUCGUAUGGCUGAGGGGGAGGGGCUUCCAGACGGGAUGACGGUCGAUGCUGAAGGUCGUCUCUGGGUGGCGUGUUACAACGGAGGACGAGUCAUCAACAUCGACCCCAAUACUGGUGUGCGGCUGCAGACCGUCUCUCUGCCGGUGGCGAAGACGACUUCCUGUUGUUUUGGCGGUCCGGACUUCUCCGACCUCUACGUGACCUCAGCCAGUCUUGGCCUCAGUCAAUCAGAGAGCCGGCAGCAGCCGCUGGCCGGAGGAACUUUCAGGGUGACCGGACUCGGGGUCAAAGGUCAUCCUUCAAACUCAUUCUUUGGAUGACCUUCAGCUGCAGGACGUCGUCUUUAAUCCUCACUAACAAAAAUCUGAUUGUAGUUUGAAUGUUGAUUCAUAAAUAAAUGAGGGAGACAGCCAAUCAGAAAUUAGGAUGCUGUGACACAGAGAGCCAAUCCAAUGUUCUGUUCUUUGUAGAAUGAGUGAAAAUAAAACAGUUAGUGUUGAAGAUCUGCAGCUGAGUUAAUACAGGUGGCAAGCAUGUGAUUUUGGAAGUUCAACCUCAGUUCCUAUAAUAAAUCAAUAAACAGUGAAGCCAAAUUACAUAUUUUUCGAAAAACGUUCCUAUAUUUUAUGUACAUUUUUUAUCUGUCUGGACUUGAAGGAAUCCCAAACGGGAGAAGCUGAAGACUACAACACCCAUGAUGCCACGCUGCGUCAGCAGGUGGUAGAAAAGUACAUGUUGUGUGUGAGUCCCCCCCCGGCCCCCCCGCAUCCUGACCUUCAUCCAUAAUCCUGAAUCAGGUCAGUUUGUCUUCUUAAUGUCAGAAUCCUUUAGUAGCUCCAGGUUUCUGAAUACUUGCAUUUUGUUUCUGGAUAAAAUAUGUUUGUGCUCCAGAUUAAAGGUCUUCACUCGGUGGGGCGAUGCUUGCUUUACUGCGCGGCGACAUCUUUAUUUUCUAAACGAGGUAUCUGACCCGGGAAUAAAGGAUCAAGGCUUGUUUAUACAGUAAAACACAAUGUAAUGAAAGCAGAACCCUGUAAAAGAUCCAGUUAAAGACACGCAGCGAAGGAACCCGGAGAACAACCACAGAACCACAACUCUGCAUCAACAGACGCUAAAUUGACACAUUUGUGAAUGGAGUUUGGUGUGGAGCAUCUCAGGGAACCUGACCAAUAAAACAACAUACAAAACAUGAUGUCAUCAGGUCACAUGGAGCAGAACAAACUAAAGUUCAAAGUGCUGAUUGGUCCCAUCGAUUUAAAAGUGGAUAUGGCCAGCUGAACAUGCUGACCUAUAAACUCUAAAAGUGCGUUUCCGUCCGCAUGUUUUUAUGUUCAUAUCAAUUUGUG